rnacentral:rRNA from 1 species
GAGGGCAAGUUUGGUGCCAGCAGCCGCGGUAAUUCCAGCUCCAAUAGCGUAUAUUAAAGUUGUUGCAGUUAAAAAGCUUGUAGUUGGAUUUUUGUUAAUAUUUUAUAUUAUUAAUUUAUUAUUAUUAAUAUAAUAUUAACAUAAUUCAUAUUACUUUUUAAGUAUAUGAAAUUUUACUUUGAGAAAAUUAGAGUGCUUAAAGCAGGCUUUUGCCUUGAAUACUCCAGCAUGGAAUAAUAUUAAAGAUUUUUAUCUUUCUUAUUGGUUCUAAGAUAGAAAUAAUGAUUAAUAGGGACAGUUGGGGGCAUUUGUAUUUAACAGUCAGAGGUGAAAUUCUUAGAUUUGUUAAAGACAAACUAAUGCGAAAGCAUUUGCCAAGGAUGUUUUCAUUAAUCAAGAACGAAAGUUAGGGGAUCGAA